rnacentral:rRNA from 1 species
ACAAGGUUUCCGUAGGUGAACCUGCGGAAGGAUCAUUACCGAGUUUUCGGGCUUCGGCUCGACUCUCCCACCCUUUGUGAACGUACCUCUGUUGCUUUGGCGGCUCCGGCCGCCAAAGGACCUCCAAACUCCAGUCAGUAAACGCAGACGUCUGAUAAACAAGUUAAUAAACUAAAACUUUCAACAACGGAUCUCUUGGUUCUGGCAUCGAUGAAGAACGCAGCGAAAUGCGAUAAGUAAUGUGAAUUGCAGAAUUCAGUGAAUCAUCGAAUCUUUGAACGCACAUUGCGCCCCUUGGUAUUCCGGGGGGCAUGCCUGUUCGAGCGUCAUUACAACCCUCAAGCUCUGCUUGGAAUUGGGCACCGUCCUCACUGCGGACGCGCCUCAAAGACCUCGGCGGUGGCUGUUCAGCCCUCAAGCGUAGUAGAAUACACCUCGCUUUGGAGUGGUUGGCGUCGCCCGCCGGACGAACCUUCUGAACUUUUCUCAAGGUUGACCUCGGAUCAGGUAGGGAUACCCGCUGAACUUAAGCAUAUCA